rnacentral:rRNA from 1 species
AUUGAACGCUGGCGGCAGGCCUAACACAUGCAAGUCGAGCGGAUGAAGGGAGCUUGCUCCUGGAUUCAGCGGCGGACGGGUGAGUAAUGCCUAGGAAUCUGCCUGGUAGUGGGGGAUAACGUCCGGAAACGGGCGCUAAUACCGCAUACGUCCUGAGGGAGAAAGUGGGGGAUCUUCGGACCUCACGCUAUCAGAUGAGCCUAGGUCGGAUUAGCUAGUUGGUGGGGUAAAGGCCUACCAAGGCGACGAUCCGUAACUGGUCUGAGAGGAUGAUCAGUCACACUGGAACUGAAACACGAUCCAGACUCCUAAGGGAGGCAGCAGUGGGCAAUAUUGGACAAUGGGCGAAAGCCUGAUCCAGCCAUGCCGCGUGUGUGAAGAAGGUCUUCGGAUUGUAAAGCACUUUAAGUUGGGAGGAAGGGCAGUAAGUUAAUACCUUGCUGUUUUGACGUUACCAACAGAAUAAGCACCGGCUAACUUCGUG